rnacentral:misc_RNA from 1 species
UCAUGGUAAUCAUUAUAACUCUCUUGUUGACCCACGUCGGCUGGCAAUUGGUGCAGGCCUUGGUUUCAGCUGUCUUCAAGGGGUGCGUUUCUGUUCUUUUUGCUGCUUUUCCCUUGGUUUAUCGACAAUGAUGGCGGUUUUUUUUUUAUUAUUAAAAUUAAGACGACUUAAUUAGCCUUGUUAGGUUUACCUUGUGAGUUAAUGAUUGGUUGGAUAUUUGACCUUUCUGCCUGCAUGUAAAAUGUGAUAGAUUAGGCAGGGUAAAGGUUUAAAUGAUCAUAAAUGUAUGAAAAUCUCAUUUGUAAUUGUUACAUAAUAUGAAAUAAUCACAUUUCUUUCCAUGCUAUUAAGCUGGAGCUACUCCAUCCUUUCAGUUUUUGUUUUUUAAGGGGAGGGUUUAUUUUUUAGUGAUAAGCAAAGGAGAGACUAAUUUUCAUCGUAAGAGUGAAACAUGCCAAUGACUGGAAAAUUUACUUUAGAUGGGAUUUAUGGUUUUUCAGAACUAACCCCAUCUUUUUAUUUUUUUGAUAGUAGGCUGGUACAUUUAAAAAAGAUAUAUGUUGCUAACACUCAAAACAAUUGUAUUUACUCUGCAGACGAGUGUGGACAAGGAUCAGGUCAAAGCUGCAAUCAAAGCUCAACAGGAUCAGCAGAUUGAUAAUGCACUU